GAUGAACGCUGGCGGUAUGCUUAACACAUGCAAGUCGAACGGUCUCUUCGGAGAUAGUGGCGGACGGGUGAGUAACGCGUGAGAAUCUGGCUCUAGGUCUGGGACAACCAUUGGAAACGGUGGCUAAUACUGGAUGUGCCGAAAGGUGAAAGGUUAACUGCCUGGAGAUGAGCUCGCGUCUGAUUAGCUAGUUGGUAGGGUAAGAGCUUACCAAGGCGACGAUCAGUAGCUGGUCUGAGAGGACGAUCAGCCACACUGGGACUGAGACAC
rnacentral:rRNA from 1 species